AAUCUUUUAUUUUUCCUUUCAAUAAUUGAAUUUGAUUUUAGUUCUCUAAAAUACACCGUGUUGAUUUUGGUCCUAAACUUUGAAAUGUUUUCAUUUGGUUCUUCCCAUGUUACUAAUGAUGUGACGGAUAUUUAUUGGAAAAGGAUUAAUUUGAAACAAAGAAAUAAGAUUCUUAUUUAAUUUAUUUAACACUUUUUCUUGAUGUUCAAAAUGCAUUCUUGAAGCUUAUUUUUCUUCAGAAAUUUGAAUCUAGAUUUAGGAAAUAUCUUUUAGUAUGUUUGCAUAUGCAUGUUCGGUUCUGUACUUCUCAAUCUGUCGUAAUUUCUUUUACAAAAAAAAAAGGAACUUCACUACACUCACCUGUCUCGGUCUACAAACGUCCCUUCUCAUAAUAUAACAUGUUUCAAUAAAUUUCACUUUUUUUUUAAUCAAAAUUUGUUUUUUUAGGUUUUGCUAACAAUUCCUUCUCUCUUAAGAUUUGUAAAACAAUUUUAAAUAAUGUUUCUCAUAUUAUUCUAAGAUUUUGAGUAAAUUUGAAUAUCAUCCGUAAACACCACUACAAACCUAUGAUGCUAUGACACGUCUCAUAAAUGGUAAACCUAUGAUGUUCCGACAUGUCUUAUAAAUGGUGUGUUCCGUGUCUGACACGUAUCGAACACCGACACUCGUACAAUACUUGUAGGACACACUAUGUUCAAUUUAAAAAAUAUUUUUUUAUCUUUAACAUGAUUUUGAUGAUUAAAAUAAUGAACAAAUUUUAUUCUAUCACUACGUUUUGCAUAUUGGAUAUUAGAUAGAUAGAUUAUAUUCAUUUUUGUGUUAGUUGACAAUAUGUUAGUUAACAGUUUCAAAGUUUCAAACUUAACAUGUAUAUACACAUCGUGUCUCGUGUUCUAUGUUUUUUUAAUUUAGUCGUAUCUCCGUAGUCCGUAUCAUAUCUUUCCUCAUGUUUGUAUCCGUAUCCAGACAACAUAGCUACAAACUGUCCAGAAAUGUCCUAAAAUUUCUAAUGUCCAACUCAGCUCGCUGAAUCGCCUCUAAACUUGCGAUUUCAUGCGAGUUUGCUCGAGUUUACACGAGUCUACCAAAAACUGAUUCUACAUGCCAGUUAAAUUGGUUUAGGAUUGUGCCAAUGUAAACUCAUCUGAAUGUACGAGUUAUUUUGAUAACCAUGGUUAACUCGUAUUAAUAGGGAUGCCAAAAAAAAAUAUAAUAACCAAAUAUGUCCAGUCAUUUACAAUACUCUUAUAAUUGAUUUUCGGCAUUUUAGCCCUCCUGGCGUUGUGGCCAUAUUCUCUUUUAUAAGUAAUAUCAUAAACAACAAGAAAUCUCAUAAAUAGAUCAACGAUCAGACUAGGGCGUUAUUCUGAUGAACAAGAUCCUCUUAAGAGGCGAGUUCAGAGCAUACUCAUCCCACUGUCUAUAGCACCUUCUAUGCCAGUUGUUCUUAGAUAUCUUAGAACCUUAACAUAAUACAGAUAUAAGAUUUCGAAGAGAAGAGCAAAGAGUUUAAAACACAUUUUUGUAUUCACAAUGCCUUCAAAACCCGAUGAUCUUUCUCAAAGGGAAGAGGCUUAUUUAUAGAAAUCCGUCUUCGGAUUUCAAAACCUUACUUAGCUAAGUCUCACGUCCGUAGACGUCAGCGCUUACAUCAUAAUAUUCGGAUUCAAAUAAAACAAACUGGAAUCUGGAAAAUGACAAACAUACUGGCCGACAGGUAGGCCUGAAUUUUACAACUAUCUUUUACUUAAUGAAAUACAUUAAUCCUUGAAGAUUGGUUCGUGACUAGGAGAGAGAUUUGGAUCAGUAUCACUCUCCAUGGUAUCACCUUCAUGUUCAGCUGGAAUCCAUGAGUCAAAAUCUUCUUUGUCUUCUUCUGGUCCUCCUAGGUCUCUUGAUAUCUGGAAUUGUUCUUCAGGGAUAUAGAAUUUCUGUGGUAGUAGAACCCUGCUGUCCAGAAGGAAUCAAUCUUGAGGGAGUGAGCUGGAUUUCUGUAUGAUUCUCCCCUUGUCGUAUUUCCCUGAGGUGCCUGACUAGUUGUAGCCUAUAACUUUCAGAGAUAGGGUAAUCAUCAAAGGUUCCUCAGAAAUAAGCUUUGUUUUUUGACCAAAUUGCUCUAGAGUGAUUUUGAUAAUAUGGACGGUGGAUAAUGACAAUAGAGGUGGAUUUAGACAAAUCCACAUUUCUUUUUCUUUGAUAAUGAAAAAUCUUUUCUAGUUCAUGUCUCCACCAUGGGAUGGGAGAAAACCAUUCUAACAAGGUCCAGAACAGAUAAUCAUGUUUGAAAGGAUCGUUCAAGAUGUUGUAGGUUUCUUGGACUUUUAAGGCUAGAGGGAUGGAUCUUUGAACAGUUUUACACCAAAUGGCCCAAAGAGUUGGUUCACAGAUAUCCCAUCCGACUCCUAGAAAUAAUUCAUAUAUCCCUCCUAAUUCAUUAUUUGGAUCAAGCAUGCAUGGGGGACUGUAUUUGUAUUUCAGGGUCUCAUGAAGAUAAUAGAAAUACCUUGAAUGUGCAAAUUGGAGAAUAUCUGUAGGAGAUGUGGGAUAUAGUCCAGGAGGGUAUUCUUUAAGCGAAGGAUCUGAGGGUCUGGUGGCAUCUUGUUUUUGAAUUCUAAGAUUCUAGGAAAGGACGAAUUGUCCAUUUGUACUUCGAAUUGGAAACCUCUAAGAUGGAAAUCAAAUUUCUUAAUGCCAUUUUUGACUGCCAAAGCUUCUUUGAAAGUUGUGUGGUAGUGUUUUUCGGCUUCUUUGAAUUCACCACUUGCAUGUCCACAAUAAUCUAGAUGGUUUCCAUUUUCCUCCAUUAGAACAGCUCCCCAAUAAUGAUUGAUGGCAUCAGUUUGGAGAAUUCUUUUCCCAUUUCCUGGAAUCUUGAGAGCAGGAGGGUGUUGUGCUAUUUUUUUGAUCUCGGAUACUGCUCGGGUCUGUUCUAUCCCCCAAGGAGGGGGGUCCUUUUUUAAUAAUCUGAACAAAGGGCUGGUAUACCUUGCAACUUUGGGAAUAAAAUCACGAAUAUAAUUGAGGAUCCCCAAAAAUUGUUGAAUCUCCUUGAUGGUCAAAAAGCAGUCAGGGAAUUUCAGAAGUUCUUGAGCUAUAUAGGGUUGAGGUUGGUAUGUGCCUUGGGAGAAAUGCAUUCCAAGAAAAUCAAUUUCUAGUUGUGCCAAGUGGAUCUUUUUUUCUGAGAGCAUAAUACCGUGUUGAUCAGCCAAAGAGAUGAAUUGUUCUAAGAGGACUUUGUGAGAUUCUUUGUCUUUGGAGAAAAGCAAAAUAUCAUCUAUGUAGAUGAUAACACUGUUUAGGAUGGGCUCGAAGAUCUUGGUCAUAGCUUUCUGGAAGAGAGAGGGGGCUACUUUGAGUCCAAAUGAGAGUACCGCCCACUGAUAUUGGGCACUAGGAAUACAAAAUGCGGUUUUGUACCUUUCCGAGGGUUUAAUGCUUAUCUGCCAGAAACCUGAUUUGAAGCCUGAAAAAGAAAGAGAAGUUUUUCAAGACUCACAGGAUAUCUCAAUUUGGACUGAUGCCAGCAAUCAUUAUUGGGGAGCUGUUCUAAUGGAGGAAAAUGGAAACCAUCUAGAUUAUUGUGGACAUGCAAGUGGUGAAUUCAAAGAAGCCGAAAAACACUACCAUACAACUUUCAAAGAAGCUUUUGCAGUCAAAAAUGGCAUUAAGAAAUUUGAUUUCCAUCUUAGAGGUUUCCAAUUCGAAGUACAAAUGGACAAUUCGUCCUUUCCUAGAAUCUUAGAAUUCAAAAACAAGAUGCCACCAGACCCCCAGAUCCUUCGCUUAAAGGAUUGGUUCUCUAGGUAUGAUUUCUCAGUCAAAUAUCUCAAAGGAAAAAAUAACUUAAUCCCAGAUUUUCUCUCAAGACCCAGAAAAGCUAUCCAGAUGAUUACUGCCAUCAACACUUUCCCUCUAAUUUUUAUGGUUAAAACUUUGCCCAAUAUGGCCAAAAUCCAGAAAGAAUACCCUCCUGGACUAUAUCCCACAUCUCCUACAGAUAUUCUCCAAUUUGCACAUUCAAGGUAUUUCUAUUAUCUUCAUGAGACCCUGAAAUACAAAUACAGUCUCCCAUGCAUGCUUGAUCCAAAUAAUGAAUUAGGAGGGAUAUAUGAAUUAUUUCUAGGAGUCGGAUGUGAUAUCUGCGAACCAACUCUUUGGGUCAUUUGGUGUAAAAUUGUUCAAAGAUCCAUCCCUUUAGUCUUGAAAGUCCAAGAAACCUACAACAUCUUGAACGAUCCUUUCAAACAUGAUUAUCUGUUCUGGACCUUGUUAGAAUGGUUUUCUCCCAUCCCAUGGUGGAGACAUGAACUAGAAAAGAUUCUUCAUUAUCAAAGACAAAGAAAUGUGGAUUUGUCUAAAUCCACCUCUAUUGUCAUUAUCCACCGUCCAUAUUAUCAAAAUCACUCUAGAGCAAUUUGGUCAAAAAACAAAGCUUAUUUCUGGGGAACCUUUGAUGAUUACCCUAUCUCUGAAAGUUAUAGGCUACAACUAGUCAGGCACCUCAGGGAAAUACGACAAGGGGAGAAUCAUACAGCAGGGUUCUACUACCACAGAAAUUCUAUAUCCCUGAAGAACAAUUUCAGAUAUCAAGAGACCUAGGAGGACCAGAAGAAGAUAAAGAAGAUUUUGACUCAUGGGUUCCAGCUGAACAUGAAGGUGAUACCAUGGAGAGUGAUACCGAUCCAAAUCUCUCUCCUAGUCACGAACCAAUCUUCAAGGAUUAAUGUAUUUCAUUAAGUAAAAGACAACUGUAAAAUUCAAGCCUACCUGUCGGCCAAUAUGUUUGUCAUUUUCCAGAUUCCAGUUUGUUUUAUUUGAAUCCGAAUAUUAUGAUGUAAGCGCUGACGUCUACGGACGUGAGACUUAGCUAAGUAAGGUUUUGAAAUCAGGAGAUGGAUUUCUAUAAAUAAGCCUCUUCCCUUUGAGAAAGAUCAUCGGGUUUUGAAGGCAUUGUGAAUACAAAAUUGUGUUUCUAAACUCUUUGCUCUUCUCUUCGAAAUCUUAUAUCUGUAUUAUGUUAAGGUUCUAAGAUAUCUAAGAACAACUGGCAUAGAAGGUGCUAUAGACAGUGGGAUGAGUAUGCUCUGAACUCGCCUCUUAAGAGGAUCUUGUUCAUCAGAAUAACGCCCUAGUCUGAUCGUUGAUCUAUUUAUGAGAUUUCUUGUUGUUUAUGAUAUUACUUAUAAAAGAGAAUACGACCACAACGCCAGGAAGGCUAAAAUGCCGAAAAUCAAUUAUAAGAGUAUUGUAAAUAACUGGACAUCCGUAAGUGAGGUAAGAUCUAUAAAAAAUACUAAAUGGAUAUCUUUAAUACAUACUCAUGAUUAGUAUGUACAGGUAUUUAAUUACGGUAUGCGACAAAACAAUGAAUUGUUUAGAUUUUGACUUCAUAUAUUUUCAUUUCAUUUUAUUUAUACCUAUAAAAUUAAAAUUAUUUUAAAAAAUAUUAUAAUUUAUAUUAUUGGUGUCACUCAUUUAAAUUUACUAUUUAAAAGACCAAAUUUAUUUUCAUUGAUAGUUCAAUGUGCAAUUUUAAUUGAAUUGUACUUUAAAAUUAAUUUUGUUAUCUAAGUUUAUAUUUUAAAGACUAACUUUUAAAUAAUUUUAUAGUUUAAUUACACUUUUAAUUUUGUAUUUGUAGUAAUUUUUAAUGAUUUUUUUAAUUUAUUUUUGACUAAAUGUAGUACUCGUUCUUUUAGAAAGACCACAUGUGGUUCCUUUUAUUAAUUUGCAUUAAAGUCGUUUAGAGGCGAUGGUUUGUAUGUUAAAAUGGAUACAUGUCACAUUGUAUCAUUAGUUUCUCUUCGGUGGUGUGAAUAGAGUAUAGGGUAAGAAUCAUGGAAAAUGAUAAUUUGACAAAUUUUUUUCUAUAAACUUUGACAAAUAACAAUUUUUGUAAAAAGAAACACUAAAAUUAUAUUACUUUAUUCUUUUAAAUUUUAAAAAAAUUAAAAAAUUACUCUAUUUUUUAAUUUUUUCAAUAAAAUGUUUGUUAAAAAAUUAUUUUGGAACAGUCAUUUGCAACUGUGGAGAUGUUGGUAUUAAGAAUCAUAAAGCCCUAAACGAAAAUGGCAACUUACAACCUGUAAAUCAAAAAGUCACACUCACCUUUAAAACUCAACGAAACAUUACCCAAUUGCACAUACCCGAAAAUGACAAAUCCACCACCACAAGCGCAAUCCUCCCACUAGAAAAAUUCACUCUUCAAAUAUCCCAAAAAUUCAAUCUAGAAACAAAAGCUCCCAUUUUCAUGAGAAUGAAAAAAUGAAGUUGAAAAUUGAAAGAAAGUUAACUCAACCAAAUUCCACCAUUUUGGAGCAACGGGGCGGAGCAAAGAAUGAUGACAGUGUUACAUUUCAUCGAACAACUAGGAGGCAACAUCAUGAGUCCAGAACAAUGAGGAGAGCUCAAAAUGACAUGUUUUUCUGGAUGGACUUGAGAAUGAGAUUGAGACAAGGCAUUCAGUUUCUCUGUGCUUGUUCUUUUGCCCUAUUGGUGUUCUUACUCAUGUCAUCACCAAAGCAACCACUAAAAGUAGCAGAGAAAACAAGCAUGGAUUAUAGAGGGAAAACAUGCUGGCAGAGAAAUUCAUGUUCAAGUUUUUACACUUGUAAUUGUCAUUGGAAUUCCUCCAUCAAAAGAUCAUAUUAUUAGUAAAUAAAUAGUUCAAUUUCAAGUGUAUAAAUUAUCUUUGACAGAAAGUUCUCUUCAAUUUUUUUCUUGAGCUGCAAUGCAAAAUUUUCGAUUUUUACCAUA